CGACACACAGAGGAGGUGUGUGUGGGAGCGACGGCUGGGAGCUUGAAGGUUGGAGUGGAUGAGCACCGGAGGGAUGUUCGAGGAGGUAGGCAAGCCACAGCCCUGGCUGGAAGAGCUUAUGAAUGUAAUGUUGAAGUUGACUGGGAGGACGUGGCAAUGCGUGGAGCGGUGGCCGACGGUGGGGAGUUGUAUGUGGCGGAAGCGAUGGCUGUCCUGGGUGGUGGUGGGAAGGGUGAAGUAGUGGGCGAAAGAAGUUCGGUUGACUUGCCGCAGGCUUGGAGGUGUGUGGUGCAGAGGGGAACUGGACAUUGGUUGUCUUUUCAUUGCUUUUAUUGUUGGUUGCUUGUGAAAUUUUAUUGUCUUGGAUUAUAUUUUGGUAAAUUUUAAUUAUAUUUUUG
rnacentral:lncRNA from 1 species